UACGUAGGUGGCAAGCGUUGUCCGGAUUUAUUGGGUUUAAAGGGUGCGUAGGCGGCGCGGUAAGUCGGGUGUGAAAUCUCGGAGCUUAACUCCGAAACUGCAUUCGAUACUGCCGUGCUUGAGGACUGGAGAGGAGACUGGAAUUUACGGUGUAGCGGUGAAAUUCGUAGAUAUUGGGAAGAACACCGGUGGCGAAGGCGGCGACCUGGUCCGAUACUGACGCUGAGGCGCGAAAGCGUGGGGAGCAAACAGG
rnacentral:rRNA from 1 species